rnacentral:lncRNA from 1 species
CCUUACAUAGCCAAAUUUUCGCCCAAAGUAAAGAGAACCAUGUGUUCCACCCUUUUUGAACCUAAGCCUUAAACAGGAUGAAAACCCUUGCUUUGAAAAUCUUUACCUUGAGUUAGGUUGAGAAAUAUUUUGUGGUGUUGAUAAAGCUUCAAGUUUGGAGUUGUUAGGAGAAGAUGAAAGGUAAAAGAAAGGCAUCGAGCUCAAAGUGUUGAGUGAAAAAGAAAAAAAAAAGCAUGAGAAAAGAAAGAAAAAAAAAGAAAAAGAAUGAAAGGUGAGCUCAAUGUAAAAAACAAGAAAAAAGGGUAAAGUUAGGAAUGAGUGUGACACGCGGGGCCCAAGCCAUAUUUCUUUAGUUUAGUAUUUCUUUGAUAUAUUUUGUAUUGUGUUAGGCAUGUAGGACCUCUAGUCCUAUAAAUAGUCAUGCCUACCUUAUUGUACUUCACUUUUGAGAUAAUUGAAUUGUUUACUGUUGAGAAUCACUCCAGAACAAUUCUACCUUGAAAGUCAAGACUAGAGAAUCCCAAAAGAUCUCCUCUAGCCACCUUCCAUCUCACACUUACCAUUCUCUCAAUUUCCACAUCAGAUUUCUC